GUGGAUGAAAUGGAGGGUCACAACGAGGAUGAAUGCUAGUAAGCUCUUGUUACAUUUCCGAUCUAGAGGAGGAUGAACGCUGGCUUCUCUUCUAUUUUCGAUGCAAAACCGGAGAUUCAAGCUUUUUGAUUAAAAGAAUGGAUCUCUGCAACAUAAUGUUGCAUAUGCACUUUAUGGUCUUUCAAAUAAUGAGAAAGAACAUCAUACACAAAUAACUCAGGGCAAGGCAAAGAAAGUUGUAUAGGCACAAAAUCUCUUGUUUGAAAUCUUGAAGUCUCAUAUAAAAAUUGGUAUUCCCUACAUGCUAUAUAAGGGCUUGAAGGACUCUCGUGCCAACAUUUGUGCAAAGAGAAUGGGAGAACUUGAUAAGAAGCCAUUCAUCCGUGUUGCAAAGCUAAAAUAUCCAAAAGAAGCAUCAAAUAAAGCUUUAGAGGCUUUGUGUUGCUAUUUCCGAGCUGUUGAAAUUCUACAGUUUUAGCUUUAAGGAUUACUGAGAAGGAAUUUUUGAGCUAUUUGUUAAUUUU